UUCCGGUUGAUCCUGCCGAAGGCUACUGCUAUUGGAGUUCGAUUAAGCCAUGCGAGUCUAAGGGAUCUUCGGAUCCCUGGCGUAAUGCUCAGUAACACGUGGAUAAUCUACCCUCAGGUGGGGCAUAAACCCGGGAAACUGGGGCCAAUUCCCCAUAAAUACAGAUGGCUGGAAUGCUUCUGUAUUCAAAGCUCCGGCGCCUGAGGAUGAGUCUGCGGCCUAUCAGGUUGUAGUCAGGGUCAUGACCUGACUAGCCAGCGACGGGUAUGGGGUGUGAGAGCACUUGCCCAGAGAUGGUUUCUGAGACACGAAACCAGGCCCUACGGGGCGCAGCAGGCGCGAAAACUUCGCAAUGCGGGAAACCGUGACGAGGGAACUCCAAGUGUCUAUGCAUUGCAUAGACUGUUUUUUAGCCUAAAUAGCUAUUAGAGUAAGGGGUGGGUAAGACCGGUGCCAGCCGCCGCGGUAACACCGGCACCCCGAGUGGUAGCCACUAUUAUUGGGCCUAAAGCGUUCGUAGCCGGUUUGGUAAAUUCUUGGGUAAAUCGUACCGCUUAACGGUGCGGAUUCCGGGGACACUACCAGACUUGAGACCGGGGGAGAUCAGAGGUACUUGCGGGGGAGCGGUGAAAUGUUGUAAUCCCGCAGGGACCACCAGUGGCGAAGGCGUCUGAUCAGAACGGCUCUGACGGUGAGGAACGAAACCCUGGGGCGCAAACGGGAUUAGAUACC
rnacentral:rRNA from 1 species